rnacentral:miRNA from 1 species
UGAUGGAAAGCUCCGAGUCUCC